CAUGGGAGAGGGGAACCUUUUACUACCAUGGCGUAAACGAGGAGGGGUUAUUUGAGAAAUAAGUUGACAAGCUUUUACUCCCAACACAGAUGGAGACCUCUGGUUUACUGAAGAGGCAGGUCUCUGCUGAGUUUCAUGGAAAGACAUGGUUCUCCGUCUCUUGCCUCCUCCCGUUGCCUGGAUGCUUGGGUUCCAUUUUGAUCAGAUAUGCCCUGCGACUUCAGCCCAUUUGUUUCCCCUUGGAGGAGCCAGACAAGAUUCUCGUUUAUUCACUUGUAAUCAGCUACUGCCAUCGCAAAGAGUCACACAGAGCGCAUGAAGAAAAUGAGGCUUUGACAGACUACAUAAGGAAGCUGAUUCAACAGCUCAUAAAUUACAGAGCUGAAGUUCUAGCUGGUUCCUACAUACCUUCUACCAAAACAUAAGCUGGAGGUGAUAAGUAUAUAAUUUAACCAAUGUUUUAGAA